rnacentral:rRNA from 1 species
UACGUAGGUGGCAAGCGUUGUCCGGAUUUACUGGGCGUAAAGGGCGCGCAGGCGGUCGUUCAAGUCGCGUGUGAAAGCCCCCGGCUCAACUGGGGAGGGUCACGCGAUACUGAUCGACUCGAAGGCAGGAGAGGGUAGUGGAAUUCCCGGUGUAGUGGUGAAAUGCGUAGAUAUUCGGAGGAACACCAGUGGCGAAGGCGGCUCACUGGUCCGGUACUGACGCUGAGGUGCGAAAGCGUGGGGAGCAAACAGG